rnacentral:rRNA from 1 species
UGGGGAAUAUUGGACAAUGGGGGCAACCCUGAUCCAGCAAUGCCGCGUGUGUGAAGAAGGCCUGAGGGUUGUAAAGCACUUUCAGUGGGGAGGAGGGUUGACUGGUUAAGAGCUGGUUAAUUGGACGUUACCCACAGAAGAAGCACCGGCUAACUCUGUGCCAGCAGCCGCGGUAAUACAGAGGGUGCAAGCGUUAAUCGGAAUUACUGGGCGUAAAGGGUGCGUAGGUUGUUAGAUAAGUUAUCUGUAAAAUCCCCGGGCUUAACCUGGGCAGGUCAGAUAAGACUGUUUGACUCGAGUAUGGGAGAGGGUAGUGGAAUUUCCGGUGUAGCGGUGAAAUGCGUAGAGAUCGGAAGGAACACCAGUGGCGAAGGCGGCUACCUGGCCUAAUACUGACACUGAGGCACGAAAGCGUGGGGAGCAAACAG